rnacentral:rRNA from 1 species
GACGAACGCUGGCGGCGUGCUUCACACAUGCAAGUCGAACGGGGAUGCAGCAACAGCUUGCUUUUAUUGCAUCCUAGUGGCGGACGGGUGAGUAACCCGUGAGCAACCUGCCCGACAUACUGGGAUAACAGAGGGAAACCGUUGCUAAUACCGGAUACUCCAUUUCUGGCGCAUGUCAGAGAUGGUAAAGGGUUUACCGAUGUCGGAUGGGCCCGCGUACCAUUAGCUGGUUGUGGAGGUAACGGCUCAGCAAGGAUGCGAUGGGUAGCUGGUCUGAGAGGACGAUCAGACACACUGGAACUGAGACACGGUCCAGACUCCUACGGGAGGCAGCAGUGGGGAAUAUUGCACAAUGGGCGAAAGCCUGAUGCAGCGAGCCGCGUGGAGGAUGAAGGCCUUCGGGUCGUAAACUCCUGUCUGGGGGGAUGAACACUGACAGUACCCCCGGAGGAAGCCCCGGCUAACUACGUGCCAGCCGCCGCCGUAA